GCCGGGCAUGGUGGCGCACACCUGUAAUCCCAGCGGCUCAGGAGGCUGAGGCAAGAGGAUCCCAAGUUCAAAGCCAGUCUCAACAAAAGCGAGGCACUAAGAAACUCAGUGAGACUCUGUCUCUA
rnacentral:sRNA from 1 species